GGGUUGUGAGGUUAAGCGACUAAGCGUACACGGUGGAUGCCCUGGCAGUCAGAGGCGAUGAAGGACGUGCUAAUCUGCGAAAAGCGUCGGUAAGGUGAUAUGAACCGUUACAGCCGGCGAUGUCCGAAUGGGGAAACCCAGUGUGAUUCGUCACACUAUCGUUAACUGAAUACAUAGGUUAACGAGGCGAACCGGGGGAACUGAAACAUCUAAGUACCCCGAGGAAAAGAAAUCAACCGAGAUUCCCCCAGUAGCGGCGAGCGAACGGGGAGCAGCCCAGAGUCUGAAUCAGCUUGUGUGUUAGUGGAACGGUCUGGAAAGUCCGACGGUACAGGGUGAUAGUCCCGUACACCAAAAUGCACAGGUUGUGAACUCGAAGAGUAGGGCGGGACACGUGGUAUCCUGUCUGAAUAUGGGGGGACCAUCCUCAAAGGCUAAAUACUCCUGACUGACCGAUAGUGAACCAGUACCGUGAGGGAAAGGCGAAAAGAACCCCGGCGAGGGGAGUGAAAAAGAACCUGAAACCGUGUACGUACAAGCAGUGGGAGCACCUUCGGGUGUGACUGCGUACCUUUUGUAUAAUGGGUCAGCGACUUAUAUUCUGUAGCAAGGUUAACCGUAUAGGGGAGCCGCAGGGAAACCGAGUCUUAACUGGGCGUUAAGUUGCAGGGUAUAGACCCGAAACCCGGUGAUCUAGCCAUGGGCAGGUUGAAGGUUGGGUAACACUAACUGGAGGACCGAACCGACUAAUGUUGAAAAAUUAGCGGAUGACUUGUGGCUGGGGGUGAAAGGCCAAUCAAACCGGGAGAUAGCUGGUUCUCCCCGAAAGCUAUUUAGGUAGCGCCUCGUGAACUCAUCUUCGGGGGUAGAGCACUGUUUCGGCUAGGGGGUCAUCCCGACUUACCAACCCGAUGCAAACUACGAAUACCGAAGAAUGUUAUCACGGGAGACACACGGCGGGUGCUAACGUCCGUCGUGAAGAGGGAAACAACCCAGACCGCCAGCUAAGGUCCCAAAGUCACAGUUAAGUGGGAAACGAUGUGGGAAGGCACAGACAGCCAGGAUGUUGGCUUAGAAGCAGCCAUCAUUUAAAGAAAGCGUAAUAGCUCACUGGUCGAGUCGGCCUGCGCGGAAGAUGUAACGGGGCUAAACUGUGCACCGAAGCUGCGGCAGCGACACUAUGUGUUGUUGGGUAGGGGAGCGUUCUGUAAGCCUGCGAAGGUGGCCUGUGAGGGUUGCUGGAGGUAUCAGAAGUGCGAAUGCUGACAUAAGUAACGAUAAUGCGGGUGAAAAGCCCGCACGCCGGAAGACCAAGGGUUCCUGUCCAACGUUAAUCGGGGCAGGGUGAGUCGACCCCUAAGGCGAGGCCGAAAGGCGUAGUCGAUGGGAAACAGGUUAAUAUUCCUGUACUUGGUGUUACUGCGAAGGGGGGACGGAGAAGGCUAUGUUAGCCGGGCGACGGUUGUCCCGGUUUAAGCAUGUAGGCGGAGGUUCCAGGUAAAUCCGGUACCUUUUUAACGCUGAGGUGUGAUGACGAGGCACUACGGUGCUGAAGUAACAAAUGCCCUGCUUCCAGGAAAAGCCUCUAAGCAUCAGGUAACAUUGAAUCGUACCCCAAACCGACACAGGUGGUCAGGUAGAGAAUACCAAGGCGCUUGAGAGAACUCGGGUGAAGGAACUAGGCAAAAUGGUGCCGUAACUUCGGGAGAAGGCACGCUGAUAUGUAGGUGAAGCCCCUGCGGGUGGAGCUGAAAUCAGUCGAAGAUACCAGCUGGCUGCAACUGUUUAUUAAAAACACAGCACUGUGCAAACACGAAAGUGGACGUAUACGGUGUGACGCCUGCCCGGUGCCGGAAGGUUAAUUGAUGGGGUUAUCCGUAAGGAGAAGCUCUUGAUCGAAGCCCCGGUAAACGGCGGCCGUAACUAUAACGGUCCUAAGGUAGCGAAAUUCCUUGUCGGGUAAGUUCCGACCUGCACGAAUGGCGUAAUGAUGGCCAGGCUGUCUCCACCCGAGACUCAGUGAAAUUGAACUCGCUGUGAAGAUGCAGUGUACCCGCGGCAAGACGGAAAGACCCCGUGAACCUUUACUAUAGCUUGACACUGAACAUUGAGCCUUGAUGUGUAGGAUAGGUGGGAGGCUUUGAAGCGUGGACGCCAGUCUGCGUGGAGCCAACCUUGAAAUACCACCCUUUAAUGUUUGAUGUUCUAACGUUGGCCCCUGACCGGGGUUGCGGACAGUGUCUGGUGGGUAGUUUGACUGGGGCGGUCUCCUCCCAAAGAGUAACGGAGGAGCACGAAGGUUAGCUAAUCCUGGUCGGACAUCAGGAGGUUAGUGCAAUGGCAUAAGCUAGCUUGACUGCGAGCGUGACGGCGCGAGCAGGUGCGAAAGCAGGUCAUAGUGAUCCGGUGGUUCUGAAUGGAAGGGCCAUCGCUCAACGGAUAAAAGGUACUCCGGGGAUAACAGGCUGAUACCGCCCAAGAGUUCAUAUCGACGGCGGUGUUUGGCACCUCGAUGUCGGCUCAUCACAUCCUGGGGCUGAAGUAGGUCCCAAGGGUAUGGCUGUUCGCCAUUUAAAGUGGUACGCGAGCUGGGUUUAGAACGUCGUGAGACAGUUCGGUCCCUAUCUGCCGUGGGCGCUGGAGAAUUGAGGGGGGCUGCUCCUAGUACGAGAGGACCGGAGUGGACGCAUCACUGGUGUUCGGGUUGUCAUGCCAAUGGCAUUGCCCGGUAGCUAAAUGCGGAAGAGAUAAGUGCUGAAAGCAUCUAAGCACGAAACUUGCCCCGAGAUGAGUUCUCCCUGAGACUUUAAGUCUCCUGAAGGAACGUUAAAGACGAUGACGUUGAUAGGUCGGGUGUGUAAGCGUAGCGAUACGUUGAGCUAACCGAUACUAAUGAACCGUGAGGCUUAACCUUACAACGCCGAAGGUGUUU
rnacentral:rRNA from 1 species